rnacentral:lncRNA from 1 species
UUAAUUUGAAAAGGCAUCAAAGCCGUCGAGAGCUUUUUUUUCCCUUGGGCUCGGCGCCCCUUUUUUCUUUGACAGAUCAGAAUUCAGUAUUCCUCCAAUUGAGCGGCUUGUGGUAACAUUGUUUAUCGCUUUCUCUUGUCAUUCAUCUUUCUAUCUUUCGGCAGACUCAUAUUCGGUGUAAAACGAUUAGUGUUUUUGAACCAAAAGUCAAUUAGGGUUUUUCUUCACGCAAAAAGAAUGUUGUAGUUUGUUGUCUCUUUCCCUCCGCGAUAAAUCUGAGAUGGGAAUGGUGUCGCCUGAACGAGACGAUGAUUAAGAGGAACGAGGAAAGAACGCGCUGCAACUGGGCGAAGAAGAACGAAUGGCGGCGUUCGAGGGAAUUUUGACCUUUUCGAGUGUUUCAUGUUUGUGGUGACCCCAUUUCGGGCUCCACCGGUCGUUUAUGUUUUUUCUAAUUUCAUUUUUUGUUGGAUGUUUGAACAAUUUCUGUUUUUCUGCUUUGGUCGUCGGGUUGCUUUUCACGCUUGGGUUGUGAGCCACGUUUUAAGGUUUUCUUUAUUUAGAUCGAUUGGUUACACGAAUGUGCUAGGUAUUGCUAACGCUUUGUGCCUCCACGCCAUACCCGUUUUGGGUGGUAUUCCUUCUAAGGGUUCGAUUGAUGAGAUGAAUACAUUUGGCCAAGAGCUUGCCUUAAUAAUAUUGAAGUAGCCUCUUUUAAUUUUUUUUUGAAAAGGCAUCAUUCAUUCUUUAAUGUGUACUAUUUGGAAAUACUGUUAUUAAUGAAAUGUGUACUAUUAAAGUACGUAAACGGUA